rnacentral:rRNA from 1 species
CCUACGGGAGGCAGCAGUGAGGAAUAUUGGUCAAUGGGCGGAAGCCUGAACCAGCCAUGCCGCGUGCAGGACGACGGCCCUAUGGGUUGUAAACUGCUUUUGAGCGGGAGCAAUAAGGAUCUCGAGGAGGUCUGAUGAGAGUACCGUCGAAUAAGCAUCGGCUAACUCCGUGCCAGCAGCCGCGGUAAU